AAUGUUAAAGGUUACAACACAAUUAAACCACUGUAUCAAAGUAAUGUGAAUGUUGAUGCUGUGUCCCAGGUGAAGUGUCGACCCAAUGAAUGCUGUGGAUUACUUCAAUCAUUAUAAAUAUUACCAUUUCUUCUCUGUUUGCUUUGGCCUGGGCUGUGCACUAAUACUCUAC